GAUGAACGCUGGCGGCGUGCCUAAUACAUGCAAGUCGAGCGAACGGACGAGAAGCUUGCUUCUCUGAUGUUAGCGGCGGACGGGUGAGUAACACGUGGAUAACCUACCUAUAAGACUGGGAUAACUUCGGGAAACCGGAGCUAAUACCGGAUAAUAUUUUGAACCGCAUGGUUCAAAAGUGAAAGACGGUCUUGCUGUCACUUAUAGAUGGAUCCGCGCUGCAUUAGCUAGUUGGUAAGGUAACGGCUUACCAAGGCAACGAUGCGUAGCCGACCUGAGAGGGUGAUCGGCCACACUGGAACUGAGACACGGUCCAGACUCCUACGGGAGGCAGCAGUAGGGAAUCUUCCGCAAUGGGCGAAAGCUUGACGGAGCAACGCCGCGUGAGUGAUGAAGGUCUUCGGAUCGUAAAACUCUGUUAUUAGGGAAGAACAAAUGUGUAAGUAACUGUGCACGUCUUGACGGUACCUAAUCAGAAAGCCACGGCUAACUACGUG
rnacentral:rRNA from 1 species